rnacentral:rRNA from 1 species
UACGUAGGGGGCAAGCGUUGUCCGGAAUUAUUGGGCGUAAAGCGCGCGCAGGCGGUUUCUUAAGUCUGAUGUGAAAGCCCGCGGCUCAACCGUGGAGGGCCAUUGGAAACUGGGAAACUUGAGUGCAGGAGAGGAGAGCGGAAUUCCACGUGUAGCGGUGAAAUGCGUAGAUAUGUGGAGGAACACCCGUGGCGAAGGCGGCUCUCUGGCCUGUAACUGACGCUGAGGCGCGAAAGCGUGGGGAGCGAACAGG